GUUGUGGGCAGGGUGGGAUUUGAACAUGCUGUUGAGGACUAAUCUUAAACAAAGAGAAGUGGAGAGAGUGGAGGCCUGUAGAGGGAAUGAUGAGUUGUCCACUCAGGCUGAGGCCCAGGGCUAUGGUGAAGGCUGCCAUCGCUCUGCCCUGUUGAUGAAAGCUUAGCAGGUGCUACCAGAAAACGAAGGAUCAUAUUUAUCCACAAAAUUGCAGCCUGACAAGCAACUCAAACCAGCAAAGAUGAACUAAAUUCCCCGAGUUGAGUGCUUCUCUCUUGGUCUAUUUCUUGAACCUAAUAGCCACUGACACUCAAACUCUGGCCCCUUCCCCCCAAAUGCCCUCCAAGUACCUCAAACGUAGCAUGACGAUAUAAAACCUCAAUCCGCUUUCAA